GACGAACGCUGGCGGCGUGCUUAACACAUGCAAGUCGAACGGAAAGGCCCUGCUUUUGUGGGGUGCUCGAGUGGCGAACGGGUGAGUAACACGUGAGUAACCUGCCCUUGACUUUGGGAUAACUUCAGGAAACUGGGGCUCAUACCGGAUAGGAGCUCCUGCUGCAUGGUGGGGGUUGGAAAGUUUCGGCGGUUGGGGAUGGACUCGCGGCUUAUCAGCUUGUUGGUGGGGUAGUGGCUUACCAAGGCUUUGACGGGUAGCCGGCCUGAGAGGGUGACCGGCCACAUUGGGACUGAGAGACGGCCCAGACUCCUACGGGAGGCAGCAGUGGGGAGUAUUACACAAUGGGCGGAAGCCUGAUGCAGCAACGCCGCGUGCGGGAUGACGGCCUUCGGGUUGUAAACCGCUUUCGCCUGUGACGAAGCGUGAGUGACGGUAAUGAGUAAAGAAGCACCGGCUAACUACGUG
rnacentral:rRNA from 1 species